CUAGCAUGCCGACCGAAAUGCUAGCAGUAUUUCGUCUGUCUUUACGUUCUGAGUUCAAAUUCUGCUGAGGUUGACUUUGCCUUUCAUGCUUUCGGGGUCGAUAAAUUAAGUACUGGUUGUGUACCGGGGUCAAUCUGAUCAACUGGCCCCGUCCCCAAAACUUUUGGGCCUUGAGCUAGAGAUAGAAAAAAAUAUUU